CUUUACAAUGCUGGCAACAGCGAUAAGGGAACCUCGAGUGCCCGUAAAUUCGGGCUGUCCGCCAGUGCAAAUAGCUGGUGAAGAAAGGGCCGGGCAAGACCGGUGCCAGCCGCCGCGGUAAUACCGGCGGCUCGAGUGGUGGCCACUAUUACUGGGCUUAAAGGGUCCGUAGCUGGAUACACAAGUCCCUUGAGAAGUCCGCCGGCUUAACCGGUGGGCGUUCAGGGGAAACUGUAUUUCUAGGGACCGGAGAGGUGAGAGGUACUGCCGGGGUAGGAGUGAAAUCCUGUAAUCCCGGUGGGACCACCUAUGGCGAAGGCAGUCUCACCAGAACGGGUCCGACAGUGAGGGACGAAAGCUGGGGGANC
rnacentral:rRNA from 1 species